UACGGAGGAUGCAAGCGUUAUCCGGAAUGAUUGGGCGUAAAGGGUCCGCAGGUGGCAGUGUAAGUCUGCUGUCAAAGAAUGAGGCUUAACCUCAUCAAGGCAGUGGAAACUACACAGCUAGAGUACGGUCGGGGUAGAAGGAAUUCCUGGUGUAGCGGUGAAAUGCGUAGAGAUCAGGAAGAACACCGGUGGCGAAAGCGUUCUGCUAGACCUUAACUGACACUGAGGGACGAAAGCUAGGGGAGCGAAAGGG
rnacentral:rRNA from 1 species